rnacentral:rRNA from 1 species
UGGGCAACCUGCCCCUCUCUCUGGGAUAACCCCGGGAAACCGGAGCUAAUACCGGAUACUCCGGCUGGAUCGCAUGGUCCGGCCGGGAAAGGUCCGCCGGAGAGGGAUGGGCCCGCGGCCUAUCAGCUUGUUGGUGGGGUCAUGGCUCACCAAGGCGACGACGGGUAGCUGGUCUGAGAGGAUGGCCAGCCACACUGGGACUGAGACACGGCCCAGACUCCGUACGGGAGGCA